rnacentral:lncRNA from 1 species
AGAUACCCCAGUUCCUCCCAGUACCUCAGAUCGUGACUGUCUUUGGAGACAAGGUUUUUAAAGAGGUGAUUAAGUUAAAGUGAGGUCAUGAGGGUGGGCCCUAAUCCAAUCUGACAUGAUAGGUGUCCUUAGAAGAAGAGGAGAUUGGGCCCCAGACACACAUGCACAGAAGAAAGACCACGUGAAGACAAAGGGAGAAGUCGGUGAUCUACAAACCAAGGAAACAUCCUCAGAAUGAAACCAACCUUGCCAACCCCUGAUCCUAGGCCUCCAGCCUCCACAACGGCCUUUGGACUCAGAUGGAAUUAUACCACGGGGUUUCCUGGAUCUCCAGUAUGCAGAUGGCAGAUUGUGGAACUUCUCAGCCUCCAAAAUCGAGAUAACUUUGGCAUCAACUCGGGACAGCUCAUGCACAAAAAUGCAAGAUCCAUUAGGCCAGGCAGAGAAGAGAGUCCAGGCUGCCUUCACCCAGCCAGUGUCUGUCGUGUUCCAGAAGACGUCCGAUUUGGUCAAGGCCAACCACCAUCUGCCAAAAAUUAGAGAAUGUCAGUACCCUUGGCAAUGACUCUACCUUUAAAAAGGAUUGUAUUAUCUAUAUCACCACAUUUGGAGCCCUGCU